AUUAUUAUUUGAUAUGAGUGGACUUUCUCUUCCUCCUGUGUUCCUCCUGUGCCACUUAACCCCCUGUCUGCUCUGGAGAAUCCCACAACUGUACAGACCAGAUUUUUAUUUUUAUUUGGAGGAGCGCGCAGAGGGAAAAGGAGAGGAAGGGGAAAUGCUGUUGCUGGGGCAUAAAUUUGUCCCACUUGUGCAAGAGCAUGGUUUAGUGCAACCCAGGGCUAACUUUUCUUGGAUUUCUAGUGACUUUACAACAUGAGUUGAUGGUCCAUUGGUUGUAGAUUUGUAACUGGUGAGUUUUGAGCCCAUGCCUAAAUGGUAAUCCUGUGCCUGCCUGAUGCUCUUUGGAAGUGAAUUCCGCAGCACAGCUGCCACCACACUAAAAAGGCUCUUCCCUCGGUUGACAUAAGACAAACUUCCAGAGCUUACAACAUUACCAAAAGUGUCAUUCCUGAGGAUCUAAGAGGCUGGGCAAGGGUAUAUAAUAAGGAGUUCUUGGAGGUAACCUGGUGCCAAGUUAUUUAGAGUUUAUAUGCCAAAAACAAGACUGGUACAUAGGUGUCAUGCAGUGUCAGUACAGCAUUCUCCACCAGUUGCAACUUCUGGACCCAACCUUAAGAGAAGCAACACAUAGAUUGCAUUGCCAUAAUCUUAACCUAGAAGCUACUUUAUUUUCUAGAAAAGGCAACAUAUAUUUUUUUUUCUCAUCAAGAUUUGGAGAAAAGAGAGAACAACACAGCCCGUAUAUUAUCCAAGAGCAAUCAAAUUGGCUGUUUCCCAUUGAUCUGGCAAUAUAAUAUGAUAGGCUUAAUACCACAAACAUAAAAUCAAAGAAGUCAUUGCCCAACGGACUCUGCAGUCAAUAACAAACCAGCUUUUCAGUUGAAGCCGAAAUUGUGUUGCCAAAAAACACAUCUUGUCAAACAUUCUGUAUCCCUGCAAUGAACGGCCAUAUGCCUCCCAGCGGAAUUGGCUUAAUGGAUAUGUGUGUCCGCUGUUUGUCCACAUUAGAGGAUGAUUAGAUUAGAUUUGCACUGCUUCUAAAUGUAGAGAUUCCAUGUGUGGCUCUGCUCUGACAUUUAUUGAACUGAUGAGAGCAUAUGCCUUUAGAUGUUGUCAAAUGGCUUAAAAUGCAGGUUCAUGGUUGCAAUAAAUAUUUUUUUAUUAGCAAGGGCUAUAGUGGCUUCUAGGACAGUUAACAACUGCACUAAAAGUACUGUUUAUGCAUAAUUGCAAAGUGUGCACACUGCCCAUUUAGCUAUCAGAAUUGAAAAGAGUGAUAGAUUAUACCAAAUUACAUCACCGCUUUUAAAAUAAAAAUGUCUGGGGGAAGAAAAACUGCAGUUAAUGUUUCUUUUCCCUAGGGCCUAUUAUCCCUAAAUGUCAACCAAACAAAUGUUUUCAUUCCCAGAGGUUAAAUUCUAAAAUUCUACAGACACGUUUUUUGUUUGCUUGCAUGAAAUUAGAUUUAUGUGUGGAAAUCACAUGAUUAUAACCCCACCAUAUUAUAGUUUCUUGGGCGUUCCUCCUUUCAAGUUAGAGAGAGAGAGAGAGAGAGAGAGUUUACUAAACAUGUAAACAGUAUUUGAUUGAUGAAUUGUUCUUUUACAAGUCCUUUUAAAGUUUCCAGUAUGAUGUUUAUUUUUUAAAGGAGAGAAGUGUCAUCAGUCAUAGUUUAAUUUAUUUUCUAGCUAGUUCUGAUAAAUUAAGAGUUGUCUGUUAUUUCUAAACAAAACAGGGGCAUGAUCCAUAAAUAUAUGCCUUUUUAAAGUGUCAGUGGAAACAUUUUUCUGCUUUGACCUGCAUAUCAAACUAUAGCAUAAACCAGGCCCUCCAGAUGUUUUGGACUACAAGUCCCAUCAUCCCUGACCACUGGUCCUGUUAGCUAGGGAUCAUGGGAGUUGUAGGCCAAAACAUCUGGAGGGCCGCAGGUUGGGGAAGCCUGGCAUAAACCAUAGUAGUACUUCUGAAAGACCAUCAUUUCAUGUAUUCUUGUGAGUUGACUGUCUUCUUAAUCCUAACAUCAUUUCCUUCUCUCACACUUGCCUAAAUGCUUGUAAAUGAUUCUGUUAAAAGCUUACUGCUCAUCUAUUUCCGUUUAGAACUUUGUAUUAGGAAAGCAAAGGGAUGUUCAAUUGCCAUCACCCCCCCCCAAAAAAAGCAAAACAAAAAACAUGCCCCGACAAGUGUUCUAAAUCAUUGUUAAAUGUGAGUUUUAUUUUAAUGUGCUUUUGUCCUUAUUAAAAAUAACCCCAUUACACUUUGAGAAAAGCACUUGAAGCUCCAGUUGUUGUUUCCUUUUGGGGAUGCUUAGGGUCCAGUUGUAAUUGGAUAUGGCUUUAUUGUGGGUUGUAGUUUAUUUUUAACUGGAUUUUAUUGUUGCAUCUUAUUGAUUUAUAGUCUGCUUUUGACAAAGUACUUCACCAAAGACCUCUGUGUAAACUUUGCAGUCAUAUAAGAAGAGCAGAGGUCCUCUUUUGGAUCAGGAAUUGGUCAAGUUGCAGGAAGCAGG